rnacentral:lncRNA from 1 species
UGGCUAAUUAUGUGAGACCUUAAAAAAUUAAUGUGACAAAAAAAUAAUUUUUUAAUCAUUAAAUAAACAAAUGUAAUUAAAUGUGGGGCAAAAUGGUCAAAACACAAUUUAAUGCUGUCAAAUUUCCUCCACCUCCAAAACCACCUUGACCCCACCGCUUCUCUCCUCACCUCCACCACCACCGCCUCCUCCUACUGCUCUUCCCCAACGUCCCUCCUAACCUCCACCUCCGCCGCCCCCCUCCUCUUCUUUACCAUCGCCUCAGUCCUCUCCUACCUCAUGAGAAUUUGAGCUUCGCAGAGAGAUUUUACAAAGAGAUAGAGAUGGUUACCUCAGUCAUGGCUGCAAACAGGGUAUUUUACUGCAAAAAUUGGAUCUUCACUACAAAGACUUCAAAAAAAAUCAUAAAAACCCAACAAUUUCUUCAUUUCCUUUUUUUCCCUUUCACGAGCAGAUUGAAAAACAACUAUAAAACCCAAAAAAAACCCCAUCAUCUUCUCCCUCGUCUUUCAUCCCUUUCUCUCCUCCACCCUCCCCAAUCCUUGGAUCUCUGCCACGAAAUUGCUUUUCUUGUUCAUCCACAAUUGACAAACACGAAUACCCAGAACUAUUUUUAACCCCAUCACCAUUAUUCAUCUCAAUAAUCGACAUUUUAUCACAAAAUCAAGGGCCUAAUUUCAAAUUUGCACACACAAAUAACCUCAAUAUACACUAUGAAAAUACGGGAUUUUUUAUAUUUUUUCUAACAGAAAUACUCAUGAUGAUGAAAUUCUUACUUCAAAAGAAGUUUUGAUCAUCAAUUUGCUUUGAGAAAUUGAAAUCUCAUAAUCGAUACAGAUUGGGCUGAAGAGGGAGAGUGGUGAAUCUAAAGGACUGGCGAUGAGGAGUCGAAGUCAGAGAUCUAUAGAGAUCUAUGAACAUGGAGGUGAAUCGUGAAUCUAAUUCCAAGGGCAAGAAGUUGAAGAGGAAUGAUAAAGUAAAAUGAAGUGAAGAGAAAGGAUUAUUUGCAGUGGCGGCGGCAAUGGGCGGAAGUGAAGAUGAUAGGGGUUUGUUUUUGAAACUUUUGAUUUAUUUAAUUAGGUUAAAGAAUGUUGUGACAAUUUUAUCCUCUAUUAUAUCUAAAAUUGUUUAAUUAAUAAAUAAAAUAUUAUUUUUUUAUUACAACUCAGCUGAUUAAUGCCUCACCUAUAUAGUCAUGUCAGCAAUUUCUGACGUGACAUGUUCAAUUUGUUGCAAUUAGAAAAAAUUGAUAGUUCAAUCAUUUAAUUGACAAAAUUAAAAGGUGAAUCACCGAAAUAAAAUAUGAUCUAUAAUUUAAGAUACUAAUUCAUAUUUAAGGCUUUAUUGAAUGGGUUAACAAUAAUCUAUUUAAAAGGCUCUAAUAGACUAAGUGGCAUGUACUGCACAUCUCAGUCACAAAUUUUCGCUCUUCUUUAUUUUCAUAUUAUUUUUUUUAUUGAAAAAACUUAAUGACGAGAUAAAAGUGUUAGUUACAGCAGAUAAAAGUUAAGGCGUACCAUAUCCCACCACGGUUAAUUUGUCACACAUAAAUAUAAGUAGAGCAACAAGGAGAAAAACAAAGUAACAUGCGAGUAAAAAGGAAAACUGGACUACAUUAAAAGAAUGGUAUACAUUUUGUCUUGAUGUUUUCAAAUGAUAUUUUCCCUAAAUUCAGUUCAUGUUAGAGUUCAUACUGAAGCUUUAAACCACAGUCCACAGCUAGCGAAGGAUAUAUUAUGUCCAUGUUUUGACCUCAGACUUUUGCCAAUAACAUCCAACACUCUUGAGUGUCAAGAGUGUUUAACACGAAGCUGAUAGACAUUGGUAUAAUGGCAUUGCUCCCUUGUAUUGGUAGUCUAGUAUGAGCACUUCUGCAAACUGUCAAAUUUCUGCCAAUUAUUCUCUAGUGAUUAAGGCCUCUUUUCUUCAUGAAAUUUAGGCCUUUUAUGUUUUCAACCUGAUAAUCUUUGCAUGUGAAUAUACUCGUCAAUCAUAAUCAUGGAAUGCCUGGGGAAAAAAUCAGGGAAAGGAUUUCGAGUUACUGUAACUUGCUUAUAGUCAUGAUCAGUGUCAGAGAUUUUUUUGAACUUCUCAAGGAACAAAAAAUGUGUGGGCAUUACAAAAAAUGUUUGGGACAAAUUUAUGGAGUCGAGAAAAAUGCACCAAAACAAAGACAAUUUGGAACAGCCCACAACCGAAGAUAUGCACUGUAAACCAACUCGAGGGAUAAAAUACAUCAAUACUCACAAUUGAGGACAAGAAAGCUUAUAGUUAUGCAACAUAUUACACAACUUCCCCAUCGACACAAUUAGGCAUAGAUUUUUGACCAAAAUUCACUGAACAACUAUAAAGUUCCUAGAAAACUGACUACGAUCACAAACCAUGUUCUGCCCCUUCAGUUUAAUAUUUUUAAAGAUUUUUUCUUGCUCCUCAUAUCAGCUCUAGGUUCCAUCUUCACAGGCAAUGGAGCAGAGAAUACAAAGCUUCCAUCGUCAUUCUCAAACAGGUCGCCUCUAGGGUCUCUGUCAUCAUCACUAAUUUGGGGAGAUUCAUUAUCGUCUGUGUGUAAUUCUUCAUCGUCAUUCCCAGUCCCAAUUUCUGCAACUCCUCUGCCUAAAUACUCAGCAUCAAUUGAAUCACUCCCAUCAAUGCUAUUACUUUCUCCAUUAGGAUUUGGCCAGUUACUGCUUCUGUAAACCAUAUAAACAUUCACAUUGUCUUCAAAGCUAACAUUUUUCUUUGCCUUGGCUUGAACCCCAGCAUAUCUCUUCUUCAAAACCCCAGUUCUGAUUUGAGAAACUGUCGGGUUUCCAUUAGUAUAUGUUCUAGGGUUUUCAAACUCUACAUCUUUCUCCUGAUCUUCCUCAGAAAACCCAGAAAAGCCCUCAAUUUUUUCAACCCUCUUCAUCAAUUUCUCCAAUAAUUCCCUCUCCUCCCCUUUUAAACCCCUCCAAUCAGCAAUACUCGUCCUUUGAUCACUCUGAAAAACCCUAGAUUUGGUAGCGGUCCCACCAACUUUCACAUUCUUCACUACUCUGCUUAAAAGCUGAUGCCUUUUCAUUGAAAGGUCAUCAAGAUAAUCCAUAAAACGGAUUAAUUCUCUGCUAAUCAACCUUUUACUAUCUCUAAUCAUCGGAUCACCACUCUGCAAGAAAAUCCAAAUCAGACCUUGUACCAACAACAUACAUACACUAUAAUUGAAUUUGAAUAAAAUAUAUGAAUGAAUUGUUGGUGUGAUGCUCCAAAAUUCAUAGUUUUGACAAAGUCCCAUAUUGUCUAUUUUGAUAACAUUAUUUGGGUAUAUUAGCUCAUGUUGGCUUACGCUUUGUAACUUGGUUGAGGAAAUAAGGAAGGGCUCGCGCACAUGAGCACGACUAAAGAAUUGGGCUAGGCCAAGCUUGGUUCUUGGACUUUCGGCCAGAAAACCUUAGCCGUUUUUCAAUAGCAUAAACCUUAUUUAUUAGCAAUGUUCCCUUUUACGUUACUGUUUUCCCCAAUGUUCUUUUUACCGUUGCUUCUCAACGUCCUUCUUCUUCCUAUCAUAUAUAUAUGUAUUGUUUUUGUUCUUCAAGAGAUAUCAGUUCUUCCUCUGCACAUAUACAAUAUCAGUUUAUCAUCUUCUUCUCCUUUCUAAAACUUUAUUAAUUGGGGCAAUUCACAAAGACAAGUCCACGGGCUUUCUUCUGCGAGUACACACAAUCACUUUUUAGGACAGUAGCUUUGCUACUGAUGAGUGUGUUUUAUAUACACAAAUUACGUACUUUUGAGUUUUAUAAUUUGUAAAUCCUAAGCUAGUUUGUUUGCUUUUUAUGUGUUUUCAUUGAAUUGUUGUGUAAUAUAGUUUUAUAUUGCUUUUAUGUAUAUUUGUAUUAGUUUUAUGUGUUUUUACUUUGUUUUGUAGUAAUUGGAUGG